rnacentral:rRNA from 1 species
AUUGAACGCUGGCGGCAGGCCUAACACAUGCAAGUCGAGCGGAUGAGGCGAGCUUUCCUCUGGAUUCACCGGCGCACGCGUGUGUAUUGCCUAUGAACCUUCCUGCUCUUGGGCGAUAACGUCCGCAAACGGGCGCUACUACCGCAUACGUCCUGCGGCAGAAAGUUCUGCAUCUUCUGACCUCACGCUCUCAGAUGAGCCUAGGUCGGAUUAGCUAGCUGGUGGGGUAAAGGCCUACCAAGGCGACGAUCCGUAACUGGUCUGAGAGGAUGAGUAGUCACACUGGGACUGAGACACGGUACAGACUCCUACGGGAGGCAGCAGUGGGGAAUAUUGGACAAGGGGCGAAAGCCUGAUCCAGCCAUGCCGCGUGUGUGAAGAAGGUCUUCGGAUUGUAAAGCACUUUAAGUUGGGAGGAAGGGCAGUAAGUUAAUACCGUGCUGUUUUGACGUUACCAACAGAAUAAGCACCGGCUAACUUCGUG